UACGAAGGGUGCAAGCGUUACUCGGAAUUACUGGGCGUAAAGCGUGCGUAGGUGGUUUGUUAAGUCUGAUGUGAAAGCCCUGGGCUCAACCUGGGAAUUGCAUUGGAUACUGGCAGGCUAGAGUGCGGUAGAGGGUAGCGGAAUUCCCGGUGUAGCAGUGAAAUGCGUAGAUAUCGGGAGGAACACCAGUGGCGAAGGCGACUACCUGGACCAGCACUGACACUGAGGCACGAAAGCGUGGGGAGCAAACAGG
rnacentral:rRNA from 1 species